GGAGGAAAGCAGGGGAUCGUAAGACCUUGCGUUAAUGGAGCGGCCGAUAUCUGAUUAGCUUGUUGGUGAGGUAAAGGCUCACCAAGGCGACGAUCUGUAGCUGGUUUGAGAGAACGACCAGCCACACUGGAACUGAGACACGGUCCAGACUCCUACGGGAGGCAGCAGUGGGGAAUUUUGGACAGUGGGGGCAACCCUGAUCCAGCCAUUCCGCGUGAGUGAAGAAGGCCUUCGGGUUGUAAAGCUCUUUCGCAAGGGAAGAAAACUUAUGAUCGAAUAAAUCAUGAGGUUGACGGUACCUUGAUAAGAAGCACCGGCUAACUACGUGCCAGCAGCCGCGGUAAUACGUAGGGUGCGAGCGUUAAUCGGAAUUACUGGGCGUAAAGCGUGCGCAGGCGGUUUUGUAAGUCGGAUGUGAAAUCCCCGGGCUCAACCUGGGAACUGCGUUUGAAACUACAAAGCUAG
rnacentral:rRNA from 1 species